rnacentral:tRNA from 1 species
AGAGGUAGCUAAGCCCGGUAAGGCGCGAGCCUGGAGAGCUCGUGGAGCUUCUGCUCCUCGGGGGUUCAAAUCCCCCCCUCU